rnacentral:rRNA from 1 species
UACGUAGGUGGCAAGCGUUGUCCGGAUUUACUGGGUGUAAAGGGCGUGUAGCCGGGCUGACAAGUCAGAUGUGAAAUACCGGGGCUCAACCCCGGGACUGCAUUUGGAACUGUUAAGCUGGAGUGUCGGAGAGGCAGGCGGAAUUCCUAGUGUAGCGGUGAAAUGCGUAGAUAUUAGGAGGAACACCAGUGGCGAAGGCGGCCUGCUGGACGAUGACUGACGUUGAGGCUCGAAAGCGUGGGGAGCAAACAGG